CAGUAGCCGCGGGAAUACGGAGGAUCCAAGCGCUAUCCGGAUUUAUUGGGUUUAAAGGGUGCGUAGGUGGCCUGUUAAGUCAGGGGUGAAAGACGGUAGCUUAACUAUCGCAGUGCCUUUGAUACUGACGGGCUUGAAUACACUAGAGGUAGGCGGAAUGCGACAAGUAGCGGUGAAAUGCAUAGAUAUGUCACAGAACACCAAUUGCGAAGGCAGCUUACUAUGGUGUCAUUGACACUGAGGCACGAAAGCGUGGGGAUCAAACAGGAUUAGAUACCCCCGUAGUCCCUGUCUCUUAUAC
rnacentral:rRNA from 1 species